UACGUAGGGGGCAAGCGUUGUCCGGAUUUAUUGGGCGUAAAGCGCACGCAGGCGGUGCGGUAAGUUUCGAGUGACAGGUGGUGGCUUAACUGCCACAGGACUCGGAAAACUGCUGCACUUGAGGGCUUGAGAGGGACGCGGAAUUCCAGGUGGAGCGGUGAAAUGCGCAGAUAUCAGGAGGAACACCGGUGGCGAAGGCGGCUUGCUGGGCCUUACCUGACGCUGAGGAGCGAAAGCGUGGGGAGCGAACAGG
rnacentral:rRNA from 1 species